rnacentral:snRNA from 1 species
GGAUGUGAGGGUGAUCUGGCUGCAACAUCUGUCACCCCACUGGUCGCCAGGGUUGGUUGGGCUGAUCUGGCUGGCUAGGCGGGUGUCCCCAUCCCCCCCCAGCACCCCCCACGUGCGUCCCUCCUGGGGCUGCAAGGUGGAAGAGGACGACCUUCCCCAAACAGAGGAGGACCGGUCUACGCUCCCCUGCUACAACCUCCAGAAAAGCUCUCAAAAUGAGAAGAAGAAGAAAAGGGAUGACACAAAACACCUGACAAUCUGCUCUGGGCACCAAAGACAAGCAUCCCUUAGAG